UACGAAGGGUGCAAGCGUUACUCGGAAUUACUGGGCGUAAAGCGUGCGUAGGUGGUUUGUUAAGUCUGUUGUGAAAGCCCCGGGCUCAACCUGGGAAUGGCAAUGGAUACUGGCAAGCUAGAGUGCGGUAGAGGGUAGUGGAAUUCCUGGUGUAGCGGUGAAAUGCGCAGAUAUCAGGAGGAACACCGGUGGCGAAGGCGCCACUCUGGGCCGGAACUGACGCUGAGGAGCGAAAGCGUGGGUAGCAAACAGG
rnacentral:rRNA from 1 species